UUAAUUCCAACAAACGAUUUGCAAAAAUCAUUUUUGUAAAUGUUAGUCAUUUAAAUUCUUAUGCAUUUCAUAUUUAUUUAAAUUGAACAUUAAGCAUUUAGCAUCUACACGAGCUAUUUAGUUAAGCAAACACUGAUCGAUUAUUACAGUUUUCAUAGUACAACCCGGAAGACUUUUUAUAUUAUUUUAUUUUAUAUACUCACCUACUCCCUUCCACUACACCCACCUACUCCCUCCUUUUUAAAAAGUUAACAUCACUACCCACUACCACCACCAACUCCCAGCCAAACCCACUGAUAUACUUCACCCAUCCCCUUCCACUUUUACUCAAUCUCCCACACAAUUUGCCAUAUUUCACUUUCAAAAGAAAACCCAACGAACAAGUGCAGAGGCUUUGAGCAUCAUGAGGAUUAGCACUGCUAUUCCGAUUCAGAGAUAACGUUAAACGACAGGCAUUGCCUAUACAGGUUGAGCAGUUGAUGGAAUGGAAUGAUGUUGAGCGGGUGUUCCUUUGACAUUUCAAGAAAUGUAACCUUGAGUAUACAUCUUCAUAUGUAUAUCUCACACGUUUUCCGCUGCAAAACACUUUGAUUAGGAUAACUCUAUAUUAUGAAGUUGUUACACGUGUUAUUGGGUAAACCACCUUAAUCAGUUCUCUUUUAUGUGUAUGUUUUAUAAGUAUCCAAAUGAUCAUAUAUGAUCCUAGCUUUUUAUCUAUAAGUGAUAUUUUCAUAUACUUUAAUGUUAAGUAAUUGUCCAUUU